rnacentral:lncRNA from 1 species
UGCUUCUUUCGUCUCACACAUGACCUUAUUUCCUGUCAUGUCACAAAAGAAGAAAACAGUCCCGUUCUCUAUAAGACUAAACAGAGUCGAGCCAUAUAAGAAAAUGAACAAGUUGACUUUUUCAUCAUGAAAUUUUGUGUUUUGAAAUAGUUACUAAAGAUGUAUUGUUUAUCGAGCAGCCAAAUGGUUAUACCCCAGAGUUGUUUACAUCAUUGCUUCACUCAUGGUUCGAUGUCAUGAUGGCAUAAAAGAUAUCUUAGAAAAAAGUCGGAUACAUAGUAAUGCAAGAUGUGGGAAGAUGGAUUAAUAUAUUCCUUAAAAAAAAUAAGUCAGUUCUAAAAGGGCAUGAGUAUUUUCCGGGUCUUAGCCGUCUACUCUAGGUACUCGGCUUUCACUGUUAUUCCUAGUCCGUGAGGCCUUCAUAUUACGUCAUGUGAGUGCAUGCAUAUCUCACUGAUUAUAUUCCAUGCAUUUCCCUCCAAAGCUUGUUUACUCUGGACAACAAAAAAGAUACAAUCGUGUGCUUCCAUGUAUUUCCUUCUUAUCAGGGCUUCUGUUUUAACUUUUAAGCCUUGUGCCUCGUGUACUCUCUAUGUACCACAACUUGUAGCAAUUAAUGUACUCAUAUUUACUGGUAGUCAUAGAAAUGCAAUGUACUCACAUAUCCAGCUUUAGAGACAGAAAUGCACUGUACUCUAACAGGAUGAUUAGUACUCCCACCAUUCUUAAAUAUAAAUCUGUUUAGAGAUUCCACUCUGAAUAACAUACGGAACAAAAUGAAUGAAUCUACACUCUAAAGUAUAUAUCUAUA